AGGACGAACGCUGGCGGCGUGCCUAACACAUGCAAGUCGAGCGGUGACGCUCCUUCGGGAGCUGAUCAGCGGCGAACGGGUGAGUAACACGUGGGCAACCUGCCCCCUAACACUGGGGAUAAACCUCGGGAAACCGGGGCUAAUACCGGAUAUGACUUCGAGCGGCAUCGCUUGAAGUGCAAAGCUCCGACGGUUAGGGAUGGGCCCGCGGCCUAUCAGCUUGUUGGUGGGGUAAUGGCCUACCAAGGCGACGACGGGUA
rnacentral:rRNA from 1 species